UACGUAGGGGGCAAGCGUUGUCCGGAUUUACUGGGCGUAAAGAGCGUGUAGGCGGCCACGCAGGUCCGUUGUGAAAACUGGAGGCUCAACCUCCAGCUGUCGACGGAAACCGUAUGGCUAGAGUCCGGAAGAGGAGAGUGGAAUUCCUGGUGUAGCGGUGAAAUGCGCAGAUAUCAGGAGGAACACCGAUGGCGAAGGCAGCUCGCUGGGACGUGACUGACGCUGAGGAGCGAAAGCGUGGGGAGCAAACAGG
rnacentral:rRNA from 1 species